rnacentral:rRNA from 1 species
UAUCCGGCCUGAGAGGGUGAUCGGACACACUGGAACUGAGACACGGUCCAGACUCCUACGGGAGGCAGCAGUAGGGAAUAUUGCUCAAUGGGCGAAAGCCUGAAGCAGCAACGCCGCGUGGAGGAUGAAGGUUUUAGGAUUGUAAACUCCUUUUCUAAGAGAAGAUUAUGACGGUAUCUUAGGAAUAAGCACCGGCUAACUCCGUGCCAGCAGCCGCGGUAAUACGGAGGG